UAGGGAAUCUUCCACAAUGGACGCAAGUCUGAUGGAGCAACGCCGCGUGAGUGAAGAAGGUUUUCGGACCGUAAAGCUCUGUUGUUGGUGAAGAAGGAUAGAGGUAGUAACUGGCCUUUAUUUGACGGUAAUCAACCAGAAAGUCACGGCUAACUACGUGCCAGCAGCCGCGGUAAUACGUAGGUGGCAAGCGUUGUCCGGAUUUAUUGGGCGUAAAGCGAGCGCAGGCGGAAGAAUAAGUCUGAUGUGAAAGCCCUCGGCUUAACCGAGGAAUUGCAUCGGAAACUGUUUUCUUGAGUGCAGAAGAGGAGAGUAGAACUCCAUGUGUAGCGGUGGAAUGCGUAGAUAUAUGGAAGAAUACCAGUGGCGAAGGCGGCUCUCUGGUCUGCAACUGACGCUGAGGCUCGAAAGCAUGGGUAGCGAACAGGAUUAGAUACCCUGGUAGUCCAUGCCGUAAACGAUGAGUGCUAAGUGUUGGGAGGCUUCCGCCUCUCAGUGCUGCGGCUAACGCAUUAAGCACUCCGCCUGGGGGAGUACGACCGCAAGGUUGAA
rnacentral:rRNA from 1 species